GGGCCUAUGGUAAAGUGGCAUCACGCGUCAUUCGCAUUGACGAGUCGGCGGUCCGAUUCCGCCUAGGUCCA
rnacentral:tRNA from 6 species